rnacentral:rRNA from 1 species
GACGAACGCUGGCGGCGCGCCUAAUACAUGCAAGUAGAACGCUGAAGAGAGGAGCUUGCUCUUCUUGGAUGAGUUGCGAACGGGUGAGUAACGCGUAGGUAACCUGCCUUGUAGCGGGGGAUAACUAUUGGAAACGAUAGCUAAUACCGCAUAACAAUGGAUGACACAUGUCAUUUAUUUGAAAGGGGCAAUUGCUCCACUACAAGAUGGACCUGCGUUGUAUUAGCUAGUAGGUGAGGUAAUGGCUCACCUAGGCGACGAUACAUAGCCGACCUGAGAGGGUGAUCGGCCACACUGGGACUGAGACACGGCCCAGACUCCUACGGGAGGCAGCAGUAGGGAAUCUUCGGCAAUGGGGGCAACCCUGACCGAGCAACGCCGCGUGAGUGAAGAAGGUUUUCGGAUCGUAAAGCUCUGUUGUAAGUCAAGAACGGGUGUGAGAGUGGAAAGUUCACACUGUGACGGUAGCUUACCAGAAAGGGACGGCUAACUACGUGCCAGCAGCCGCGGUAAUACGUAGGUCCCGAGCGUUGUCCGGAUUUAUUGGGCGUAAAGCGAGCGCAGGCGGUUUGAUAAGUCUGAAGUUAAAGGCUGUGGCUCAACCAUAGUUCGCUUUGGAAACUGUCAAACUUGAGUGCAGAAGGGGAGAGUGGAAUUCCAUGUGUAGCGGUGAAAUGCGUAGAUAUAUGGAGGAACACCGGUGGCGAAAGCGGCUCUCUGGUCUGUAACUGACGCUGAGGCUCGAAAGCGUGGGGAGCGAACAGGAUUAGAUACCCUGGUAGUCCACGCCGUAAACGAUGAGUGCUAGGUGUUGGAUCCUUUCCGGGAUUCAGUGCCGCAGCUAACGCAUUAAGCACUCCGCCUGGGGAGUACGACCGCAAGGUUGAAACUCAAAGGAAUUGACGGGGGCCCGCACAAGCGGUGGAGCAUGUGGUUUAAUUCGAAGCAACGCGAAGAACCUUACCAGGUCUUGACAUCCCGAUGCUAUUUCUAGAGAUAGAAAGUUACUUCGGUACAUCGGUGACAGGUGGUGCAUGGUUGUCGUCAGCUCGUGUCGUGAGAUGUUGGGUUAAGUCCCGCAACGAGCGCAACCCCUAUUGUUAGUUGCCAUCAUUCAGUUGGGCACUCUAGCGAGACUGCCGGUAAUAAACCGGAGGAAGGUGGGGAUGACGUCAAAUCAUCAUGCCCCUUAUGACCUGGGCUACACACGUGCUACAAUGGUUGGUACAACGAGUUGCGAGUCGGUGACGGCGAGCUAAUCUCUUAAAGCCAAUCUCAGUUCGGAUUGUAGGCUGCAACUCGCCUACAUGAAGUCGGAAUCGCUAGUAAUCGCGGAUCAGCACGCCGCGGUGAAUACGUUCCCGGGCCU